rnacentral:rRNA from 1 species
AUUGAACGCUGGCGGCGUGCUUAACACAUGCAAGUCGAACGCGAAAGGGACUUCGGUCCUGAGUAAAGUGGCGCACGGGUGAGUAACGCGUGGAUAAUCUGCCCUUAUGAUCGGGAUAACAGUUGGAAACGGCUGCUAAUACCGGAUACGCUCAAAAUGAACUUUUUGAGGAAAGAUGGCCUCUGCUUGCAUGCUAUCGCGUAAGGAUGAGUCCGCGUCCCAUUAGCUUGUUGGCGGGGUAACGGCCCACCAAGGCAACGAUGGGUAGCCGAUUUGAGAGGAUGAUCGGCCACACUGGAACUGAAACACGGUCCAGACUCCUACGGGAGGCAGCAGUGGGGAAUAUUGCGCAAUGGGCGAAAGCCUGACGCAGCGACGCCGCGUGAGGGAUGAAGGUUUUCGGAUCGUAAACCUCUGUCAGAAGGGAAGAAACUACGUUGUGCUAAUCAGCAGCGUACUGACGGUACCUUCAAAGGAAGCACCGGCUAACUCCGUG